AUGCUGCUGGACCUUCCAGCCCAUUGGCUGCUGCCUCAGUCUCCCUCCACCGUCCUGGGGCCACCCCGACCUUCCCUCAAGUUGCCCCUAGGUGGCUCGGAAGCAGAUGUGCAGCCAGCACCCAGUGGGGCUGCGCCGAGGUGGGAGCCAUCCCGCGAGGCGCGGGCAUGGGCAGAGCUGGCGGGUGGCUGGGAAGCCAUUUUCAUCGAGUGCCCGGUUCCCGGAGCGGGGGACUGGGGUUGCUCCCUCUGGAAUCCAGGGGGGGUCACCCGCCUGGGCCGCCGGCUCGCAGGGAUCCAGCCGAAGCCUGUCGCCCCCAGAGCACCGGUUCUUAUCUCGGGAACCCCAGGCCGGAGAAGAAAAUUUUGUGCCUUGAAUAAUGAAUCCCCCUGGAGCCCACUGUACCUGUACUUCUCUUUAGUGUCCACUGAGAAUAACGUGUUCGACAUUCAAGUGACAACACUGGAAAGCAUUUCAAAGCCCUGGAGCCCCAGAACGCUGCACACCCCGACGACUCUUCUGCCUGCCCUCUCUUUGGCUUCCAAAUGCAGCGAGCUCUUUCUUUACUGAAAAUGUGUUCAUCUUUCACACAAAUCCUGGAUGUACCACAGAAAAACAGCACAGAUAGGUAGGCUCUUAUUUCUGAAGCUGAGCUGGUCCCGCCCAGCAUAAAGCUUUAAAGCUGCUAAGUCUCCAGGAUAUUAUCCAGUUUUUAAAAAUGGAAAAACUGGGGACAGGGAGGCUCAAUGUCUUGUCCCAGGCCCAAACAGGCUUUUCUGGAGUCACUAUCAUUCAACUGGCUCAGGCUGGAUUUUCAUAAGAAAAGAUAAUAAACAUUUACUAAUAUAAUAAAAUAGACAUCGUUUAAGUCACAAGCAGUAGCCAAACCUUUGGGACAUUCUAUGGUGCUGAACAACUAUUUCAUAGAGGCUUUAAUGUUAAGGAGCAAGUGCAGAAAAAAAUCUAAAAAUUUCAGUAAGAUGAGAAAAUGAAAGCUUUACAAAACGGUAGAAGAAAGUAGUCUCUCAUGCCUAAACUUCUAAAUAAGUUUUUUGUUUGUUUGUUUUGGGUUUUUAGUUGAGCAUUCUUUCUGCUUUGAAAUAGACUCAGAAGCCUUUUUAAAAACAAGUCACUUUUGGCCAAAUAUAUUAAGGUAUAACCAGAUGAUACUAUAGAUCCAUUUAGAAAAAAGAAAGUUCUUUACUGACAUGAAAGGAUUUCUAAGACAUAUUCGUAAGUAAAAAAAGCAAAUAUAUUACUAUUUGUAUAGGAUGAAAAAAUAAAAGAAACACGCA
rnacentral:lncRNA from 1 species